rnacentral:rRNA from 1 species
AACGAACGCUGGCGGCGCGCCUAAUACAUGCAAGUCGAGCGAGAAGACGUAGCAAUACGUUUGUAAAGCGGCGAACGGGUGAGGAAUACAUGGGUAACCUACCCUCGAGUGGGGAAGUAACUAGCCGAAAGGUUAGCUAAUACCGCGUACGCUCCUUGGACUUCGGUUCAGGGAGGAAAGCGAUACCGUGGGUAUCGCGCUCUUGGAUGGGCGUCAUGUCCUAUCAGCUUGUUGGUGAGGUAACGGCUCACCAAGGCUUCGACGGGUAGCUGGUCUGAGAGGACGAUCAGCCACACUGGCACUGCGACACGGGCCAGACUCCUACGGGAGGCAGCAGUAAGGAAUAUUGCGCAAUGGGCGAAAGCCUGACGCAGCGACGCCGCGUGGGGGGAGUGAAGGU